GAUGAACGCUGGCGGCGUGCCUAAUACAUGCAAGUCGAGCGAACGGACGAGAAGCUUGCUUCUCUGAUGUUAGCGGCGGACGGGUGAGUAACACGUGGAUAACCUACCUAUAAGACUGGGAUAACUUCGGGAAACCGGAGCUAAUACCGGAUAAUAUUUUGAACCGCAUGGUUCAAAAGUGAAAGACGGUCUUGCUGUCACUUAUAGAUGGAUCCGCGCUGCAUUAGCUAGUUGGUAAGGUAACGGCUUACCAAGGCAACGAUGCAUAGCCGACCUGAGAGGGUGAUCGGCCACCCUGGAAAUGAGACACGGUCCAGACUCCUACGGGAGGCAGGAGUAGGGAAUCUUCCGCAAUGGGCGAAAGCCUGACGGAGCAACGGCGCGGGAGUGAUGAAGGUCUUCGGAUCGGAAAACUCUGUUAUUAGGGAAGAACAUAUGUGUAAGUAACUGGGCACAUCUUGACGGUACCUAAUCAGAAAGCCACGGCUAACUACGUG
rnacentral:rRNA from 1 species